AUUGAACGCUGGCGGCAGGCCUAACACAUGCAAGUCGAACGGUAACAGGAAGAAGCUUGCUUCUUUGCUGACGAGUGGCGGACGGGUGAGUAAUGUCUGGGAAACUGCCUGAUGGAGGGGGAUAACUACUGGAAACGGUAGCUAAUACCGCAUAACGUGGAAAGACCAAAGAGGGGGACCUUCGGGCCUCUUGCCAUCGGAUGUGCCCAGAUGGGAUUAGCUAGUAGGUGGGGUAACGGCUCACCUAGGCGACGAUCCCUAGCUGGUCUGAGAGGAUGACCAGCCACACUGGAACUGAGACACGGUCCAGACUCCUACGGGAGGCAGCAGUGGGGAAUAUUGCACAAUGGGCGCAAGCCUGAUGCAGCCAUGCCGCGUGUAUGAAGAAGGCCUUCGGGUUGUAAAGUACUUUCAGCGGGGAGGAAGGGAGUAAAGUUAAUACCUUUGCUCAUUGACGUUACCCGCAGAAGAAGCACCGGCUAACUCCGUG
rnacentral:rRNA from 1 species